CCAAGGUGAAGCCUCUGACUGGGACUAAGUCGUAACAAGGUAGCCGUAGGUGAACCUGCAGAAGACA
rnacentral:misc_RNA from 1 species